rnacentral:rRNA from 1 species
ACAGGGGCUACACCUGUACCCAUACCGAACACAGAAGUUAAGCCCUAGAACGCCGGAAGUAGUUGGGGGUUGCCCCCUGUGAGAUAGGGAA